rnacentral:misc_RNA from 1 species
GUCUUAUUGAAUAUAAUUUUAAGUCUAAUCUGCCCAAUGAUAUAUUAAAUGGCUGCAGUAUUUUGACUGUACAAAGGUAGCAUAGUAAUUAGUUUCCUAAUUAGGAACUGGAAUGAAUGAUUGGACGAGAUAAUAACUGUCUUAGUUUAAAUUUUAGAAUUUUAUUUUUAAGUUAAAAAGCUUAAAUUAUUUUAAAAGACGAGAAGACCCUAUAGAAUUUUAUAUAAUUUUAAUAUUUUAUUAUUAGUAUUUAAAUAAAAGAUUUUUGAAUUAAUAUUUAGUUGGGGUGAUUGAAAAAUUUAAUGAACUUUUUUUUUAUAAAAACAUUAAUAUAUGAUUAUUUGAUCCAAUUAUUUUGAUUAUAAGAUUAAAUUACCUUAGGGAUAACAGCGUAAUUUUUUUAGAGAGUUGUUGAAUUAAAGUUAAUUUUUAAUGUAGGAGUUAAAAUAUUAGGUCUGUUCGACCUUUAAAACUUUACAUGAUCUGAGUUUAAACCGGUGUGAGCCAGGUUGGAUUCUAUCUUUAAAAAAAUUAAAUAUUUUAGUACGAAAGGACCAAAUAUUUAUUAUAAUAAUUUAUUUUAGAAUGAUAUUAUUAUUUUGGCAGAUUAGUGCUUUAAAUUUAGAAUUUAAAUAUGUAAGUAAUUACAAGUAAUAC